GGGGGUGCUAUACAUGCAAGUCGAGCGAACUGAUUAGAAGCUUGCUUCUAUGACGUUAGCGGCGGACGGGUGAGUAACACGUGGGCAACCUGCCUGUAAGACUGGGAUAACUUCGGGAAACCGAAGCUAAUACCGGAUAGGAUCUUCUCCUUCAUGGGAGAUGAUUGAAAGAUGGUUUCGGCUAUCACUUACAGAUGGGCCCGCGGUGCAUUAGCUAGUUGGUGAGGUAACGGCUCACCAAGGCAACGAUGCAUAGCCGACCUGAGAGGGUGAUCGGCCACACUGGGACUGAGACACGGCCCAGACUCCUACGGGAGGCAGCAGUAGGGAAUCUUCCGCAAUGGACGAAAGUCUGACGGAGCAACGCCGCGUGAGUGAUGAAGGCUUUCGGGUCGUAAAACUCUGUUGUUAGGGAAGAACAAGUACAAGAGUAACUGCUUGUACCUUGACGGUACCUAACCAGAAAGCCACGGCUAACUACGUGCCAGCAGCCGCGGUAAUACGUAGGUGGCAAGCGUUAUCCGGAAUUAUUGGGCGUAAAGCGCGCGCAGGCGGUUUCUUAAGUCUGAUGUGAAAGCCCACGGCUCAACCGUGGAGGGUCAUUGGAAACUGGGGAACUUGAGUGCAGAAGAGAAAAGCGGAAUUCCACGUGUAGCGGUGAAAUGCGUAGAGAUGUGGAGGAACACCAGUGGCGAAGGCGGCUUUUUGGUCUGUAACUGACGCUGAGGCGCGAAAGCGUGGGGAGCAAACAGGAUUAG
rnacentral:rRNA from 2 species